rnacentral:rRNA from 1 species
CCUACGGGGUGCAGCAGUGAGGAAUAUUGGGCAAUGGGCGGAAGCCUGACCCAGCAACGCCGCGUGAAGGAAUAAGGCCUUCGGGUUGUAAACUUCUUUGGGGAGGGACGAAGGAUGUGACGGUACCUCCAGAACAAGCCACGGCUAACUACGUGCCAGCAGCCGCGGUAAUACGUAGGUGGCGAGCGUUAUCCGGAAUUACUGGGUGUAAAGGGCGCGCAGGCGGCAUUAAAAGUCAGGUGUGAAAGCCCAAGGCUUAACUUUGGACGGUCAUCUGAAACUUUGGGGCUUGAGUAUCAGAGGGGAAAGUGGAAUUCCUAGUGUAGCGGUAAAAUGCACAGAGAUUAGGAGGAACAUCGGUGGCGAAGGCGACUUUCUGGCUGACAACUGACGCUGAGGUGCGAAAGUGUGGGGAGCAAACAGGAUUAGAUACCCUUGUA